GUCCAGCAAACAAACACAAUAACGAUGAAUACUUCUCAUACAGCAUUGAAUUAAUAACUGUAGAUACAUAAAACAAGAAUGAGUCCAAAGUACACGGAUGCCCCACUCGCACUAUCAUUUUCGAUGUUCAAUGGACCGUGAAAUUGGAUAAAAAGUAUAAUUUGGCAUUAAAAUUUGAAAGAUCAUACCAUAGGGAACAUGUGUACUAAGUUCCAAGUUGAUUGGACUUCAACUUCAUCAAAAACUAACUUGACCAAAACCUUUAACCUGAAACUCGCACUUUAAAUAUUUAUGUUCAUUGGACCGUGAAAUAGGGGUCAAACGUCUAAUUUAGUUUUAAAACCAGAAAGGUCAUAUUAUAAGCAACAUGUGUACUAAGUUUCAAGUUGAUUGGACUUCAGCUUCAUCAAAUACUACCUUGACCAAAAACUUUAACCUGAAGCGGAAGGGACGGACAGACGAACAGACAGACGAACAGACAGACGAACAAACAGACGGACGGAGGCACAGACCAGAAAACAUAAUGCCCCUUUAUUAUCGUAGGUGGGGCAUAAUAAAGUCAUAAAGUCAUGCAGAAAUGAAAAGGAGAGACAAAAAUUAUAUAGUGAGUAAAUAUUCAAAUUGACAUACUGUAAAUUCAGACAUUAUUGUGAGGUUUUUAUUAAGGCAAAUAAUGCGACUACUUGAAAACACAAUUAUAAGAACUUGCAUUUUGAUAUCUGAUACAUAUAUGGGUAUGUGGCAUUUUCCUCGAAACACAAUAAUUAAUUAAACUAGCAUUUUAGUUCAUUCUUCUAAAAUAGCAAAAAUAAACGCAUGCAAUAAUUUCUGAGUUUACAGUAGCAAAUAAUUGUUACAAAUGAAUAUAC
rnacentral:lncRNA from 1 species